CUACGGGGGGCAGCAGUGGGGAAUAUUGGACAAUGGGGGCAACCCUGAUCCAGCCAUGCCGCGUGUGUGAAGAAGGCCCUCGGGUUGUAAAGCACUUUCAGUGAGGAAGAACGCCUGGUGGUUAAUACCCAUCAGGAAAGACAUCACUCACAGAAGAAGCACCGGCUAACUCCGUGCCAGCAGCCGCGGUAAUACGGAGGGUGCGAGCGUUAAUCGGAAUUACUGGGCGUAAAGCGCGCGUAGGUGGCUUGAUAAGCCGGUUGUGAAAGCCCCGGGCUCAACCUGGGAACGGCAUCCGGAACUGUCAAGCUAGAGUGCAGGAGAGGAAGGUAGAAUUCCCGGUGUAGCGGUGAAAUGCGUAGAGAUCGGGAGGAAUACCAGUGGCGAAGGCGGCCUUCUGGACUGACACUGACACUGAGGUGCGAAAGCGUGGGUAGCAAACAGGAUUAGAUACCCGAGUAGUC
rnacentral:rRNA from 1 species